rnacentral:rRNA from 1 species
GACAGAGGGUGCAACCGUUGUUCGGAAUUACUGGGCGUAAAGCGCGUGUAGGCGGCAAGGCAAGUCGGGUGUGAAAGCCCCGGGCUCAACCCGGGAAGUGCAUUCGAUACUGCCAAGCUAGAGUCCCGGAGAGGAUGGUGGAACUCUCGGUGUAGAGGUGAAAUUCGUAGAUAUCGGGAGGAACACCAGUGGCGAAGGCGGCGACCUGGGCAGAUACUGACGCUGAGGAGCGAAAGCGUGGGGAGCGAACAGG